rnacentral:rRNA from 1 species
UGGUGGAGCGAUUUGUCUGGUUAAUUCCGAUAACGAACGAGACUCUAGCCUAUUAAAUAGUUCGCCGAUCCAUCUUGUCGGCGUCAACUUCUUAGAGGGACAAGUUUCGUAUAGGCACGCGAGAUUGAGCAAUAACA